GACGAACGCUGGCGGCGUGCUUAACACAUGCAAGUCGAACGGUAAGGCCCUUCGGGGUACACGAGUGGCGAGCGGGUGAGUAACACGUGGGUGAUCUGCCCUGCACUUCGGGAUAAGCCUGGGAAACUGGGUCUAAUACCGGAUAGGACCACUGCCUGCAUGGGGGGUGGUGGAAAGCUUUUGCGGUGUGGGAUGGGCCCGCGGCCUAUCAGCUUGUUGGUGGGGUGAUGGCCUACCAAGGCGACGACGGGUAGCCGGCCUGAGAGGGGGACCGGCCACACUGGGACUGAGAUACGGCCCAGACUCCUACGGGAGGCAGCAGUGGGGAAUAUUGCACAAUGGGCGCAAGCCUGAUGCAGCGACGCCGCGUGAGGGAUGACGGCCUUCGGGUUGUAAACCUCUUUCAGCACCGACGAAGCGCAAGUGACGGUAGGUGCAGAAGAAGGACCGGCCAACUACGUGCCAGCCGCCGCGGUAA
rnacentral:rRNA from 1 species